rnacentral:rRNA from 1 species
CCUACGGGUGGCAGCAGUGGGGAAUAUUGCACAAUGGGCGCAAGCCUGAUGCAGCCAUGCCGCGUGUGUGAAGAAGGCCUUCGGGUUGUAAAGCACUUUCAGCGGGGAGGAAGGCGGUGAGGUUAAUAACCUCAUCGAUUGACGUUACCCGCAGAAGAAGCACCGGCUAACUCCGUGCCAGCAGCCGCGGUAAUACGGAGGGUGCAAGCGUUAAUCGGAAUUACUGGGCGUAAAGCGCACGCAGGCGGUCGGUCAAGUCGGAUGUGAAAUCCCCGGGCUCAACCUGGGAACUGCAUUCGAAACUGGCAGGCUAGAGUCUUGUAGAGGGGGGUAGAAUUCCAGGUGUAGCGGUGAAAUGCGUAGAGAUCUGGAGGAAUACCGGUGGCGAAGGCGGCCCCCUGGACAAAGACUGACGCUCAGGUGCGAAAGCGUGGGGAGCAAACAGGAUUAGAUACCCGGGUAGUC